UCGCCUGUUUAUCAAAAACAUUGUUUUAUAUAAAAAUAACCCCUGCUCAAUGAAAAAUUUUAAAUAGCCGUUACUUCGCUAAGGUAGCAUAAUAAUUAGUCUUUUAAUUGUGGACAGGAAUGAAUGGGGUUAUUGAGGAAGAGGUUUUAAUAAAAUUUAUUGAAUUUUUAUUAAAGUGAAAAGACUUUAAUGAUAUUUUUAGACGAUAAGACCCUAUGAAGCUAAAUGUUAAAAUUGAAUUAGAAUUAAUAUAAACAGGUUGUUUGGGGAAAGAAAAAAUAUUAAUAUUUUAAUUAUUAGAAUGAUUAUUUGAUCUUUAUAUAAUAAAAAGAAAAAGCUACUCUAGGGAUAACAGCGUUAUAUUUAUAAGAGCCCUUAUCGAAAUAAAUAAUUGUGACCUCGAUGUUGA
rnacentral:rRNA from 1 species